rnacentral:lncRNA from 1 species
CAUCUCUUCCACAAACUGGGUUCCUUACAGCAAGCACAGAAGAAGAAGAGCUUGAGAGCUACCACUUCCAGCAGACCGUAGAAUGUGGAAAAGCAAAACAGUAUCUUUUGGUACGCGGAGCAGUAUUCCUGGCUUUGUGCAAUAAUGCAAUGGACACAGCUUUUUCAGGAAACUGAAACUUGACGCAAAUAUAAGAUCAUCCCUCCCAACAUGGCUGGCCUGAACACUCAAUUCCAGCAUCCUCCC